UGCGGAGGAUCAUUAUUGAAUAAACCUGAUGGACUGUUAGCUGGCUUUUCAAAGCAUGUGCUCGUCUGUCAUCUUUAUCUCUCCACCUGUGCACAUUUUGUAGUCUUGGAUACCUCUCGAGGCAACUCGGAUUUUAGGAUCGCCGUGCUGUACAAGUCGGCUUUUCUUUCAUUUCCAAGACUAUGUUUUUAUAUACAC
rnacentral:misc_RNA from 1 species